rnacentral:tRNA from 2 species
GCAUUGGUGACUUAGUGGUAGAAUUCUCACCUUCUGUGUGGGAGACCUGGGUUCUAGUCCCAGCCAGUGCA